UGAGGGGGCGCUGAGGGGACCCCCUGUGCUGCGGGCCUUCCCCAGCUCCGGGGGGAGCACAGGAGGGCCUUCGGACACUGCUGGUGCUGCUCUGCCCUCACGGGUUUGCUGGCGCUUGUCGUGUAUUUCACGUCUUCUUGUUUGUUUGUUUGUUUGUUUUCCUCUGCCAAAUCUUAAAAGGGAACAGUUACUCAUUCCCAGUGGUUCUGAGUGGAGCUGGCUCAACCCUACCCUAGACGUCAUAGUUGGCAACAGCUGCCGCCAGGGUGAUUAACUUUAAAAUGAGGCAGCGGUGAAAGGCUUCCAGCUCCGCAGUCCUGUGUCGGUGCCGCGUCAUCAGAAGGUUCAGUGGGAUGCAGGAUGACCUUGUGUGAGGAGGGAUCCGAUGGAUCCGUGCGGACGUGUCCGUGGAGGACAUCGGCAGGGAGCACCACCGUGACCUGCAGACAUCACAGCGGUGCAAAACACAUCCCUUUGUGUCUGGGCAAAAUUUAAUCGGGUACCAGAAAUCUUGGUGGCGUGGCCUUUGAAAAUAAUGGUGUCACUUAUUUUUAAUUUCCUCCUGAGAAUUUUUGGAAAAAGACCACUCUGCUGUCAUCCUCCUGGGAUAAGCAAAAAGGAAAUGAAACUUCAGAAGACCUGAGAGGCUGUUUGGUGUUUCUUCCAUAGACUUUCACUAGAAGAUUUAUUCCAAAAAUUCCAGUGACCAGUAAUGUGUGCUCUGCGGCCCUGUGGCAUGGAGGGCAGUGUGAACAGGGUAAAAACACAACAGUAGCGCUUUGUGCAGAGUAUCAAUAAAAGCAGCAGAUGAGGCAGUGACAGCUUUAAUGUCAAAGGACUC